rnacentral:rRNA from 1 species
AAUACGUUCCCGGGCCUUGUACACACCGCCCGUCACACCACGAAAGUCGGCAACACCCGAAGCCGGUGGCCCAACCCGUUUAGGGGAGGGAGCCGUCGAAGGUGGGGUUGGCGAUUGGGGUG